rnacentral:rRNA from 1 species
CCUACGGUGAGCUGCCGUGAGGAAUAUUGGUCAAUGGACUAGAGUCUGAACCAGCCAAGUAGCGUGAAGGAUGACUGCCCUAUGGGUUGUAAACUUCUUUUAUAUGGGAAUAACAUGUUCCACGUGUGGGAUUUUGUAUGUACCAUAUGAAUAAGGAUCGGCUAACUCCGUGCCAGCAGCCGCGGUAAUACGGAGGAUCCGAGCGUUAUCCGGAUUUAUUGGGUUUAAAGGGAGCGUAGGUGGAUUGUUAAGUCAGUUGUGAAAGUUUGCGGCUCAACCGUAAAAUUGCAGUUGAAACGGGCAGGCUUGAGUACAGUAGAGGUGGGCGGAAUGCGUGGUGUAGCGGUGAAAUGCUUAGAGAGCACGAAGAACUCCGAUUGCGAAGGCAGCUCACUGGACUGCAACUGACACUGAUGCUCGAAAGUGUGGGUAUCAAACAGGAUUAGAUACCCCAGUAGUC